rnacentral:rRNA from 1 species
AUGUCUUGCUGCGGAGGAAACUGCGGCUGCGGCAGCGCCUGCAAGUGCGGCAACGGCUGCGGCGGCUGCAACAUGUACCCGGAGGCCGAGGCCGCCGGCGCCACCCUCCUCGUCUCCGCCACCGCCACCCACAAGGCG